GACGAACGCUGGCGGCGUGCUUAACACAUGCAAGUCGAACGGUGAACGAGGGAGCUUGCUCCCUCCGGAUCAGUGGCGAAAGGGUGAGUAACACGUGAGCAAUCUGCCCCGAACUCUGGGAUAAGCGUUGGAAACGACGUCUAAUACCGGAUACGACGCGGGAGGGCAUCCUCUCCGCGUGGAAAGAACUUCGGUUCGGGAUGAGCUCGCGGCCUAUCAGCUUGUUGGUGAGGUAACGGCUCACCAAGGCGACGACGGGUAGCCGGCCUGAGGGGGUGACCGGCCACACUGGGACUGAGACACGGCCCAGACUCCUACGGGAGGCAGCAGUGGGGAAUAUUGCACGAUGGGCGCAAGCCUGAUGCAGCAACGCCGCGUGAGGGACGACGGCCUUCGGGUUGUAAACCUCUUUUAGCAGGGAAGAAGCGAAAGUGACGGUACCUGCAGAAAAAGCACCGGCUAACUACGUG
rnacentral:rRNA from 1 species